rnacentral:rRNA from 1 species
CCUACGGGUGGCAGCAGUGGGGAAUAUUGCACAAUGGGGGGAACCCUGAUGCAGCGACGCCGCGUGAGUGAAGAAGUAUUUCGGUAUGUAAAGCUCUGUCAGCAGGGAAGAAGAAAGACGGUACCUGACCAAGAAGCCCCGGCUAACUACGUGCCAGCAGCCGCGGUAAUACGUAGGGGGCAAGCGGUAUCCGGAUUUACUGGGGUUAAAGGGAGCGUAGACGGCAGGGCAAGUCUGGAGGGAAAGGCAGGGGGCCAAACCCUGCACUGCUAUUGAAACUGUCCGGCUGGAGUGCAGGAGAGGUAAGUGGAAUUCCUAAUGUAGCGGUGAAAUGCGUAGAUAUUAGGUAGAACACCAGUAGCGAAGGCAGCUUACUGGACUGUGACUGACGUUGAGGCUCGAGAGCGUGGGGAGCAAACAGGAUUAGAUACCCGUGUAGUC